rnacentral:rRNA from 1 species
UACGAAGGGGGCUAGCGUUGCUCGGAAUUACUGGGCGUAAAGGGCGCGUAGGCGGUGUGUCAAGUCAGGCGUGAAAGCCCCGGGCUCAACCUGGGAACCGCGCUUGAGACUGGCACGCUCGAGUUCGGGAGAGGAUGGUGGAAUUCCCAGUGUAGAGGUGAAAUUCGUAGAUAUUGGGAAGAACACCGAUGGCGAAGGCAGCCAUCUGGACCGACACUGACGCUGAGGCGCGGAAAGCGUGGGGAGCAA